AUGAACGCUGGCGGCGUGCUUAACACAUGCAAGUCGAGCGAGAAGUUUUGAAAAGAUUCUUCGGAUGAAAUUUAAAAUGGAAAGCGGCGGACGGGUGAGUAACGCGUAGGCAACCUGCCCCAUACAAAGGGAUAGCAUUUGGAAACGAAUAUUAAUACCUUAUGAAACUUAACUAGUGCAUGCUAGGUAGGUCAAAGAUUUAUCGGUAUGGGAUGGGCCUGCGUCUGAUUAGCUAGUUGGUGAGGUAACGGCUCACCAAGGCGACGAUCAGUAGCCGACCUGAGAGGGUGAACGGCCACAUUGGAACUGAGACACGGUCCAAACUCCUACGGGAGGCAGCAGUGGGGAAUAUUGCACAAUGGGGGAAACCCUGAUGCAGCAACGCCGCGUGAACGAUGAAGGCCUUUGGGUCGUAAAGUUCUGUUCUAGGUGAUGAAAACUGACAGUAACCGAGGAGAAAGCCCCGGCUAACUCCGUG
rnacentral:rRNA from 1 species